UGAACCAAACUUGUUGCUUCGGGGGCGACCCUGCCGACGACUUCGUCGCCGGGCGCCCCCGGAGGUCUUCUAAACACUGCAUCUUUGCGUCGGAGUUUAAACAAAUUAAACAAAACUUUCAACAACGGAUCUCUUGGUUCUGGCAUCGAUGAAGAACGCAGCGAAAUGCGAUAAGUAAUGUGAAUUGCAGAAUUCAGUGAAUCAUCGAAUCUUUGAACGCACAUUGCGCCCUUUGGUAUUCCGAAGGGCAUGCCUGUUCGAGCGUCAUUUCACCACUCAAGCCUGGCUUGGUAUUGGGCGUCGCGGUGUUCCGCGCGCCUUAAAGUCUUCCGGCUGAGCUGUCCGUCUCUAAGCGUUGUGGAUUUUUCAAUUCGCUUCGGAGUGCGGGUGGCCGCGGCCGUUAAAUCUUUAUUCAAAGGUUGACCUCGGAUCAGGUAGGGAUACCCGCUGAACUUAAGCAUAU
rnacentral:rRNA from 1 species